CUCCUGGAAGAUGUGAGUUAAUGAUGGUUAGCAAUUAUUUUUUUCACGUGGUUUAUAUAUAAUAGACCCCUAAUACUCACAAAGGUAAUUCAAUAUACUAUAGUUUAUUUUUUAACCAUAAAUAAAAAGACAAUAAAUAAACUUGCAAGGGCAAUCCAGUAACAAGAUAGUAUCCUAUAUUCCCUAACUAAAUAUUCUUCAAUCUAGCCAAAAGAAUAACGCAGAGUUCCAGUUUUGCAGCAGAGAACGAUGAAAGAUACAACCAAAAAGACAGUACCAACUGGAUCUACCAGUAAGAGAGAUCACAUUACCAAAAAAAAUGAAACUAUUGCUAACAACGAGAAUUCAGCUAUCUUGUGUAAGUCAUCCUUUGCCUAUGUUUAUAAAGAUAUUGGAUACAUACAGGAAUGAUCUGUUGCGUUUUGUUUUCAUGUAAUCAAAUUCAUACUUGACAAAGCACAAGCAAACAUCGUGUCCACUCAAAGCACUACCAAUUCAGCGACAAGUGAUUUUUCUAAGGAAAAUACAAUCAUACAGGGACCAGGUCAGAGGUCAAAAACGACUGAUAACAUUUUCUCUCAAGCUUACUCACAGAUACCACCCAUUUCGUUAAGUUCACGCUCAAUGGCUCAACGUCUUCGUUAUAAGAGGAAGAGAACAACCAAUUCCAUUGAAGGAGAACUAAUUAUGUUAUCUGAUAUUACCAAUCAAGUUCCUUCUGGAUCCACACAUACACAACAAUCUUAUCUGACUCCAACGCAUGAUGAGA